rnacentral:misc_RNA from 1 species
GCACACUGUUACUGCACAAUUUCACAGUUUUAAAUUAUAAAUACGAAUAAUCGGUGAAUAAAUGGUAAUUAGGUAUCUGUGUGUAUCCGUAUAUGUAUACUACGUUACGUAUACUGAAAUCUGAACGUGAACUUUUGAUCCUAGUUUAUGCGGCCCCGACGUCAUGGCUGAUUGCGUUUUCUCUCAUUUUUUAAUCGUUACCUGUGACACGAAUUUUCCGAUGGUAAAACAUUGCCUCGAAAUUAAAUUCAAAUUGAAAAAGUGUACUCUGUGUUUAUACAUUUUUUUGUUCGUUUUCAAUGCAAUAUUUGACAUUUUAUACCUUUUCGAACCGUAUAUCCUGCGUGCGUGUGUAUUCAAAUAAUCGGUUUAUCGUUGUACGAUGGUCUCGGAAAACCGGCAUUUUCCAACUCUUCCUACGUUCUAUUCAUUGGACUGAUUCGGAAGAUGCGCGUUACGCGAGAGCAGAUACUCGACUGAGUGAUAAACGAGCCUUGAUUGGCUUAAUAUAGUACGUUGCCGGAGUAAUUGGUCGCUCCCUUGCCGUGCGGGAAAUGAUUGGUCAAUUUAAUCCUAGGACGUAGUGCAUUAGGCAUUCAGUCGACGUACAAACUCCCUAUUAACUGUCAUAACUUUGUUCUUCUUCUUAGUCUUACGCUCCAUUUCGUUUUUCUUCUUUUUUCGCUCCUCCUUUUCACGUUAUUUGUAUUUAUUUACAAUUAUUAAUUCAAUCCUCACGCGAACCGUACGGAUAUCAUUCGCGUUUUCAUCCCUU